GCACAUAUACAACAAAUAAAAAUGGAACGAUACAGAGAAGAUUAGCAUGGCCCCUGCGCAAGGAUGACAGGCAAAUUCAUGAAGCCUUCUAUAUUAAA